rnacentral:rRNA from 1 species
GAUGAACGCUGGCGGCGUGCCUAAUACAUGCAAGUCGAGCGAACGGACGAGAAGCUUGCUUCUCUGAUGUUAGCGGCGGACGGGUGAGUAACACGUGGAUAACCUACCUAUAAGACUGGGAUAACUUCGGGAAACCGUAGCUAAUACCGGAUAAUAUUUUGAACCGCAUGGUUCAAAAGUGAAAGACGGUCUUGCUGUCACUUAUAGAUGGAUCCGCGCUGCAUUAGCUAGUUGGUAAGGUAACGGCUUACCAAGGCAACGAUGCAUAGCCGACCUGAGAGGGUGAUCGGCCACACUGGAACUGAGACACGGUCCAGACUCCUACGGGAGGCAGCUGUAGGGAAUCGUCCGCAAUGGGCGAAAGCCUGACGGAGCAACGCCGCGUGAGUGAUGAAGGUCUUCGGAUCGUAAAACUCUGUUAUUAGGGAAGAACAUAUGUGUAAGUAACUGUGCACAUCUUGACGGUACCUAAUCAGAAAGCCACGGCUAACUACGUG